UAGUGGGUCGCCAAAGGGUAAGGCAAUAAGUUUUGAUCUUAAAAUUAUAGGUUUGAAUCCUAUCCCACUAG
rnacentral:tRNA from 1 species